AGAAUCAACGCUGGCGGCGUGCCUAAUACAUGCAAGUCGAACGCGAAAGUCCCGCAAGGGGCGAGUAGAGUGGCAAACGGGUGAGUAACGCGUGGGCGACCUACCUUCGAGUGGGGGAUAACCUUCCGAAAGGAGGGCUAAUACCGCAUGACAUCCCGUGUUUAGAUACACGGACAUCAAAGCUGGGGAUCGUAAGACCUGGCGCUUGAAGAGGGGCCCGCGUCCGAUUAGCUAGUUGGUGGGUAACGGCCCACCAAGGCUUCGAUCGGUA
rnacentral:rRNA from 1 species